rnacentral:rRNA from 1 species
GACGAACGCUGGCGGCGUGCUUAACACAUGCAAGUCGAGCGGUAAGGCCCUUUCGGGGGUACACGAGCGGCGAACGGGUGAGUAACACGUGGGUGACCUGCCCUCAGCUCUGGGAUAAGCCUGGGAAACUGGGUCUAAUACUGGAUAUGACUCCACGGUGCAUGUCGUGGGGUGGAAAGCCUUGUGCGGCUGAGGAUGGGCCCGCGGCCUAUCAGCUUGUUGGUGGGGUGANGGCCUACCAAGGCGACGACGGGUAGCCGGCCUGAGAGGGCGACCGGCCACACUGGGACUGAGACACGGCCCUGACUCCUACGGGAGGCAGCAGUGGGGAAUCUUGCGCAAUGGGCGAAAGCCUGACGCAGCGACGCCGCGUGAGGGAUGACGGCCUGG